rnacentral:rRNA from 1 species
GCUAAAAAUCUAGCCCAAUUAUCCGUAAUACAUCUAAAUCAAUUAAACUGUAAAAACAAACCAUUUUAACAUUUUAGUAAAGGAGAUUAAAAAAAUUCUUGGAGCUAUACAAAAAGUACCGUAAGGGAAAGAUGAAAUACUUAAUGAAAAAUCUUUAAAGCUUUAAAAAGUAAAGAUUACCUCUUGUACCUUUUGCAUCAUGGUUUAACUAGUCUAACCUGGCAAAAAGCAUUAAAGUCUGACUUCCCGAAACUAAGUGAGCUACUUCAAGGCAACUAAAUGAGCUAACCCGUCUCUGUGGCAAAAGGGUGGGAAGACCUUCAAGUAGGGGUGAUAGACCUAACGAACUUAGUGAUAGCUGGUUACCCAGGAAAAGGAUUUUAGUCCACUUUAAAGCAACUGCAGUAUAACAAUACAUCAAAUUUACUUUAAACCAAUUCAAACAAGGUACAGCCUGUUUGAAAUAGGAUACAACCUCUACUAAUGGAUAACACAUAUUCUAUUUUCAACUAAGUAGGCUUAAGAGCAGCCAUCUUUAAAAUAGCGUCAAAGCUUAAUUGCAUCUAUAUCUAAUACCAAUAUUCUGUACUUAAUCCUCCAGUCAUACUGGGUAAUUCCAUAAUCUUUAUGGAAAAUUUUAUGUUAAAACUAGUAACAAGAAGAAGACCUUCUCUUAAAUACAAUUGUAAAUCAGGAAGGACUAACCACUGAUAUUUAACGUUCCUGAGUCAAAAAUAGCACCCUCCCAAGAAAACCCUAUUUUUAUUCACGUUAACCUAACACAAGAGUACUUAAAGAAAGAUUAAAAGGAAAAGAAGGAACUCGGCAAACUUUAACCCCGCCUGUUUACCAAAAACAUCGCCUCUUGAGUAAUUAUAAGAGGUCCAGCCUGCCCAGUGACUAAGUUCAACGGCCGCGGUAUCCUAACCGUGCGAAGGUAGCGUAAUCACUUGUUCUUUAAAUGAGGACUAGUAUGAAUGGCACCACGAAGGUUAUACUGUCUCCUUUCCCCAAUCAGUGAAACUAAUCUCCCCGUGAAGAAGCGGGGAUAGAAAUAUAAGACGAGAAGACCCUAUGGAGCUUUAAACAAUGCAGCAACUGCUACUACUCUAUACAAACCCCAGAGUCUCUAAAUUUCAUUAGCACUUUGACGGCAAGUUUUAGGUUGGGGUGACCGCGGAGAAUAAUAUAACCUCCACGCUGAAAGAAUUUUAUUCUUAGCCAAGGGCUACUACCCUAAGCACCAAUAUACUGACAUCUAUUGACCCAAUACAUUUGAACAACGAACCAAGUUACCCUAGGGAUAACAGCGCAAUCCACUUCAAGAGCCCCUAUCGACAAGUGGGUUUACGACCUCGAUGUUGGAUCAGGGUCUCCCAGUGGUGCAGCCGCUACUAAAGGUUCGUUUGUUCAACGAU